UCCACAGGCGUUCACAGGGAGCGUGGCAAGCUGCGGAGCAGGAUGUCCGUGAGGCGCCCGGCCGGCCUGCGCCCAGCCGCCUGCUCCCCCAGGCCGGCUGCCAAGGCGCUGAGAGAGCUCGGCUAAGAACACCCCACGCCUUACAGCUCAGCCCGUUGAAUCACCCCGUGACUCUUUGUCGAGCCCCGCGUUGGUGGGUGCCACGGGCGGCUGCGCACUUCGCCUCCAUUGGCGUGGCUUAGGCGGCAGAGCUGGGCUUAGAUCCUGCGGCCUGCGGGUCGGACUUGCUCCAGCGUCUCCAGAGCCCACGUCCCCGAGGCCGCGAGAGACGGGAAAUGCGUGCGCGCGGUAUGCUGACGGCUCUGCGCGGUGCUCCCUGAUUCGGAGGAACUGUCGUCCAAGCUCCUUCACGCUCACAUUGACAGCAUCUCCGUUCCCCAGGGUGGUUGGAAAAAUGAGUCAGGGUCCACCACGUCUCCUUCUCAGGGCUGGUGCGUGGUGGGACCAGAUGCCGAAGCGGUUUGCACAUCCGGCCUGCUGGGCAUUCUCAGACGAGAGCACACCCGGGAGUUUGCCAGUGGCCAGGGAGGCCUUGCUGAAAUGUCCGUGGCAGUGUCGGCACUCGGGCCUGAAGGACGGGAGCGUCAAGGGGCUACUGAUGGUGAGGGGUCACUCCGGGAGGUUCUCAUCUGGGAGUGAGCUGGGAGCAGACCCCCAUUGGAAAUAAGCGAGGCGGAUGGUUUGCGCAGGACUGAAGCCAGGGCUCCGGCUUGGAUCCUCCCGGAACGGCCAAUGUAGAGGCCCCGUGGAGGGCAUGACAGCUGGGAGGAGCAGAGGGGUCCGCCUGGAAAGACCUCUGAGGCUCAGAGCCCGUGGCACUGGCUGGGACUGCAGGCCCCGUGAAGCAUCUGGCGUCCACACCCGCUCACCACGCCACCGUGCUGGGUGCUCAUGGCAUCAGUAACCACACAGCGCGGCCCCAUGGAGUACUUCCCGCACACCUGGCAGUCUGUGGGCUCACACUGUCCAGAGCACGUUCGCCUGUGAGACAGCUGCUGAAGCAAGAACUGUCUGGAACUAAGUAGAACAUGGCUGACAGGUGCCCAGGAGCACGUCCGGAGCCCAAGGCCCCUCCAGCCUGUCACUGUCCCCUUGGUCCCACGUGGUCAGAGGUUCCAUUCAGGUGUUUCUGGAGAGAAGGCAAAUGAGCAGCGUCUCUCGUGAAACUUUGUCCUUUUACUCAGAAAGGAAUACGCUCACCAAAAUUUCUAUCUGUGCUCACGGACAGGAACCGGGGUGCUUUGCCCACGUGGCCGCAGAGAGCCUGGGAAGGUGAGCCGUCAUCAGGAAGCAUGGCCGCCCCUACAAGCUCAGGGUCCUCUCAGGGAACAGGGGGUAUGGCGGACAUGUGUUGACUGACGUGGCUGUCCCCACCGUCCUGGGAUGUGAUUGCCAUUUUCAUUUUCAUAAUUUGACGGAGGAGGAGAUUAAGGGACAGGCAAGCCAGGUCAUUUCUUUCCUGAAGACUACCUAAUAGACGGGGAACCGUAUCUCUGUGAGACCAUAGGCAACCUGAGAGCAGGACUGUGUGUUUGUCCUUUGCCCUGUGUAGCUGUGACCCCAUCACCAGACAGAAUGUCACUUGGAUCGAUGCCUGAUCUAAUGCCUCAUUGAUGGUCCAGUAAAGUCCCGUGCAUGUCUCAGGCUUCCCCGUCCUCCUUCUCAGAGGAAAGAGUUCCAGAAGCCUCCCCAUGCCGGCAUGCAGUUCCUCUGGGCCCAGGCAGCGUGGGUGUGCCAGGAGGACGAGUUUCGGCCGACUGCCAUCCCAGCCACGUUCAGCUGAGCUCACCAGGACUGAACAAGGCCUGAAGUGUCUCAAGGAGUGUUUUUAACAAGUUGUAAAUAAUAUCUCACCAAGUUCCCUCGCUGCCUAGAAUUGAUGCAGCUGGUGAGAAGUAGUCAUGAUCCCGUGCAUCAUUUGUCCAUUUACAAGAACAUUUCAUUCACCUCCUUCCAGAAGGAUGCACAGAACACGCUUUUAAAGAAGGCGUAACUGGUACUGACAUAUGGGAAAGCUGUGUUGCACUGGCUCAUGCGGUGUGUGCAGAAGAAGGGAUACUCGUAAUUACUGGGGAUUUUUAAAAAAAUAGAGAUAAUUUGUCUUAAGAAGAAACAUGGGCUUCUGCAGAAUGAUGACUUUGUCUCCCCGUGGUCUGCUCUUGGGUCAGAAACGUGGCCGGUACCCUGCCAUGUGAUUGCUGGCUUCUGGCCCUGCUCUCUCACUCUCGAAGAAAGGGCGUAUGUCUCAGCCUCCUGCAGAAGGCUCUUGCCCUGCUCUUGCC